UACGAGUGCCCCAAGCGUUAUCCGGAAUUAUUGGGCGUAAAGGGUGUGUAGGUGGCGAUGUUAGUCUUCUGUCAAAUUCUUCGGCUUAACCGGGGGUCUGCAGCCGAUACGGGCAGGCUAGAGUUCGGUAGGGGAGACUGGAAUUCCUGGUGUAGCGGUGAAAUGCGCAGAUAUCAGGAGGAACACCGGUGGCGAAGGCGGGUCUCUGGGCCGAUACUGACGCUGAGGAGCGAAAGCGUGGGGAGCGAACAGG
rnacentral:rRNA from 1 species